rnacentral:rRNA from 1 species
AACGAACGCUGGCGGCAUGCCUAACACAUGCAAGUCGAACGAGACCUUCGGGUCUAGUGGCUGCCGGGUGCGUAACGCGUGGGAUCCUGCCCUUAUGUUCGGACUAACUCCCCGAGAUAGGUGCUAGUACCGGAUAAUGUCAUCGGACAAAAGAUUUAUGGCCUUUGGAUGGGCGCGCGUUUGGUUAGGUUGUUGGUUGGGUAAGAGCCUACCAAGGCGAUGAUCCGGAGCUGGGCUGAGAGGAUGAUCAGCGACAGUGGGACUGAGACACGGCCCAGACGCCUACGGGAGGCAGAAGUGGGGAAUAUGGGAGAAUGGGCGAAAGACUGAUCCAGCAAGGCCGCGGGAGUGAUGAAGGCCUUAGGGUUGUAAAGCUCUUGUACCCGGGAUGAUAAUGACAGUACCGGGAGAAUAAGCUCCGGCUAACUACGUG